rnacentral:ncRNA from 3 species
UUGCAUAGUCACAAAAGUGAUCAUU